UCCACAACUUCUCCAGGCAGAGGUGGAGAAGAAAAUUAAUUUUCUUGUCUGUGAUCUUGUGAUACAUAACAUAAAAACUUAUAAAUAUAUUAUACUUUUAAGGACUACAUGCUAAAGAGCUGGUGAAAUAAGAUCCUCAAAACUCUGAAAUGCAAAAGCAUUCUCUAUACUGUAGUACCCAAAACUUAGCAAUAGUGCAUUUUGCAGGUAACAACAGUAAAAAAGGUUUUCUAAAAUACUCCUUACUGUAACCUGGUAAUUUUUUUUUUUCUUAAAUAUUUCUCAAAAUAUUUUCUUUUACUAGGACUCUUAUUACAGGCAGAAAUGGGUUUUCCACGAUAAUUUAUGUGAAACUAGAGGAAAUUUAUACUUAAUUUACUUCUUCCAAAUGUACUGAAUAUGCCCCGAAGUUUAUUCAUAAAGUCACAGAUGGUUGGUCUGAAACUUAGAGAUUGUUCCUGGCUAAGCACUUAAGUAACAAGGUAUUACUUGAAUCCAUAGUCACUGAAAUGUUUACCUCUACAAUGGUUUAUGGUAGAUUUCAUCUUGGUAUGUGAAUUCUCUGUCCACUUUAACAACAGUGCAGGUUCCAGUGUUCUUGUGUAUGCUGAUCUUUCUCUGUGUGGGGGAGGCAGUUGGCUUUUAAAAGUGUAUGCAGACUAAUGACAUGCUGCUAAAGACUUUACUUUGUUCUCAUAUAGUAAAGAAUAUAGGUAUCCUCCAAUUUAUACAUGCUUAAUUUCAGGUGGUUUUGAUGACUGAAGUUUUUUGGGUCUGGAUUCUUUGGAAUCAUGCUUAUUUAGUUUUGAAAUGCAGACAUGGCCUGCAUUUCUGCCAGCAACAUGAAUCAAACUGUUUCUCAGAUUCGCCAGAAGGCAAGUUAAGAGAGCAAGGAUCUGGCAUGAAUCAGAAGCAUUCAAAAGUGAGGGACUCACGGAGCGCCUCUUUAGAGUAGUUCCUCUGGGAUUCUGUCUUCAAUAAAAGCAGCAGAAAGGAGACAAUUGCAAUGUAACUAUUUUAUA